rnacentral:rRNA from 1 species
CCUACGGGGGGCAGCAGUCGAGAAUCAUUCACAAUGGGGGAAACCCUGAUGGUGCGACGCCGCGUGGGGGAAUGAAGGUCUCCGGAUUGUAAACUCCUGUCAUGUGGGAGCAAAUUAAAAAGAUAGUACCACAAGAGGAAGAGACGGCUAACUCUGUGCCAGCAGCCGCGGUAAUACAGAGGUCUCAAGCGUUGUUCGGAAUCACUGGGCGUAAAGCGUGCGUAGGCUGUUUCGUAAGGCGUGUGUGAAAGGCGCGGGCUCAACCCGCGGACGGCACAUGAUACUGCGAGACUAGAGUGAUGGAGGGGGAACCGGAAUUCUCGGUGUAGCAGUGAAAUGCGUAGAUAUCGAGAGGAACACUCGUGGCGAAGGCGGGUUCCUGGACAUUAACUGACGCUGAGGCACGAAGGCCAGGGGAGCGAAAGGGAUUAGAUACCCUUGUAGUC